AACAUCGCGCACCUGCGGGAACCUGCGGAGGGAUCAUUACAGAGUUGCGAAACUCCCUAAACCAUUGUGAACGUUACCUAAACCGUUGCUUCGGCGGGCGGCCCGGGUCCUUCCCGGCGCCCCUCGGCCCUCGCGGGCGCCCGCCGGAGGUAAACCAAACUAUUGCAUUGUAUGGCCUCUCUGAGUCUUCUGUACUGAAUAAGUCAAAACUUUCAGCAACGGAUCUCAGAUCGGAAGAGC
rnacentral:misc_RNA from 1 species